UACAGAGGGUGCGAGCGUUAAUCGGAAUUACUGGGCGUAAAGCGUGCGUAGACGGUUAUAUAAGUCGGGUGUGAAAGCCCCGGGCUCAACCUGGGAAUUGCAUUCGAGACUGCAUAGCUAGGGUGCGGAAGAGGGAAGCGGAAUUCCGGGUGUAGCGGUGAAAUGCGCAGAUAUCGGGAGGAACACCAAUGGCGAAGGCAGCUCGCUGGGACGGUACUGACGCUGAGACGCGAAAGCGUGGGGAGCAAACAGG
rnacentral:rRNA from 1 species